rnacentral:lncRNA from 1 species
GCGCGCCGGGGCUGAGCCUUGCAAACAAGUGUCUCUGGCAGUGUCCCCGCGGCCCUCCGGCGGCCCUCGUCGCGCUAGGGUUGUCUUCUCCGGACAGAAGGAACCGAGGAAGCCCCGGGAGCCGCCACCGCUACCGCCGCCACCACCCUCGGCCUUAGCCCCGCGUUAGGGGCCGCGGACUCAGCUCGGCUGCUCGGCUCGUGGAUGCGGGGUCGCAGCGCGGGCAGCGCCCCGGCUCCUACAGAGCAGCUCCUGACAGAAGAACGCGCGUGGCUGUCCCCACCCCUGGGAGGGGUUGCCGGUGUCGCGAGCUGCCGCUCAGUUUGCAGCUCUCUCUCCUGGGAGAAUCCGUCACCGGGAAAGAGUAGAAACCACCUGGUCGAGGCGCAGAAGUGGCUCCGGAGGGAGCCGGCGUAAGGUCUGCUGCCUCGUGUCCGCUAAGGGCGCGGCGAUCCGGGAUCCGCCGGCCGGAGCCCAAGCGCAGCCGGGAGCUUGCGGGUGGCGAAGCCAGGCGCACCGCCUUCUGGGUGUCUGCUGAGCGGUUCCCCGCGUCCCGCGGGGUCCUGCAGCCCCGACCCCCCGGCUGGAAGCCACGGAGAACCGCUGCCGAGGACUGCGGACCAACAUCGUCCCUCCCGAAAGCGGAUUCUGCUAUGACAGCUGGGCUCUCCAAGGGGUUAACCUGGGUGUCCUCCGUAAAGUUGUCGCCGAGCCGGGAGCCCGUUUAGGGGUCGCAGCGCCGCGGCUCGGGGGGCGGCCGAGUGGCCGGCGGCGGCCGUGGCUCGGCGGAACCCGCGCGGCCGGGGGGCUUCUGGGGGUGUGCGCCCCCAGCCGGCUGCCCUCGUGGAUGCCUCCCGGCGGCGGCGGGCCCAUGAAAGACUGCGAGUACAGUCAGAUCAGCACCCACAGCUCCUCUCCCAUGGAGUCGCCCCACAAGAAGAAGAAAAUCGCGGCCCGGAGGAAAUGGGAGGUGUUCCCAGGAAGAAACAAGUUCUUUUGCAACGGGAGGAUCAUGAUGGCCCGGCAGACCGGCGUCUUCUACCUGACUCUCAUUCUCAUCCUGGUCACUAGUGGACUCUUCUUCGCCUUCGAGUAAGUGGCGGCUUCCAGAUGCCGUGCUCCCCCACUCCUCCUGCCCCUACUUUGGCGACUUUCGUUUUCUGGUGUAUAUUGUUAUAUAAUGUCAGCCUGCUUUCCCUUUAUGGGACUUUUCAGCCCCCUGGAAUAAUGCCUUCUUGGGGCUGAAUCCUGGGAGUAAGGAAAAGGAGAGAGGGGCGCUUGUAAGGUGUGCCAGGUCACUGGCUCCAGAGCAUUGGCUAGAACCAAGCAGGUGGACUCUGAGUUUGGAACUAGCACACCAGCCCAGGUGCAGCCUUCUGGGGUGGAGUGGAGAAUUCUAAGAGAGAGACUUGACUUAGUCCUUAUCCCCGCCCCUGUGACCUCCCAUCUCACCCCUGCUAAGGAAGUUCGAGGCAUCUUUUUAAACCGAGUUGGCUGAAUCUUAGUUAUUUUAGGUUGAAAGUGUUGAUUACCUACAGUGUCCUGCAUGGGUUAUUUCCUGUUUCAUUUCCUUGUACCCCUGAUUAACAGUCUUACCAAGGGUGGAGUGUACCUUCUUUCAAAGAAGUUUCCCCAGGAAAUAUCCACAGUUGAUCAUUUGGGAAUAUUUCGGAGAGAGAUGUAAGGCCUGGAGAGGAAAACCAGACACCACGUGGCUCCUUCUGAUUCCAGAAACAACCCUUUGGGGCUCUAUCCUGGGGGCUGCGGGGGUGGGGGACGACCACUACAUGGAAGUCUUUAGGAAAAUCAAAUAGAUCAUAGCAACAAUCCUUCUGCCUGCUGAAGACAGGUCCUCCUUACUAGUAGCCCAUAGGUAGAGUUUAGCCACAAUCCAGAUCAAAUGCUCAGAUUGAGUUCAGCCAUCUGCAGCUUCUCCCCCCCCCCAAUUCUGUGCCCAACAAAAAUUAAAGUCUCUAUUCAAACUUUUCAAAAGGAGUACGUUUAUGGGCAGAAUCUCUUUGAGCUGCCCAUAUUCCAUCUGUUAACGGCAUUGUAUGUGUUUUCAGUCCUUGAGGCAGCGUCUGGCUAGGGUUAUCUAAAACCUACUAUGUUUGUUCAGUUUUGUCUUUAACAAGUACUGGGCUCUGAUUUUGACACCCACACCCCUCUCCGAUUUUCUUCUUGACCCUCUUACAGACCGUACCCCUCCGUUUUUGACUCUGGAUUGCUCCGGUGUCUCAUAAGUUACCCUUUGUGGGUGUUUGAGACUAAAUUGGUGGCAUCUGUUGGGGGACCCAUGGGCUGGAGGGAAGGGAUAUGGGAUGCAUGUAGAAUGCCAAAGAGGCAUAACCUGUGAGGCUCCUGUUGUUUCUGUGUCCCCAGCCAGGCUGCCAGCUGAGUGGACCCGUGGAACCUGGAGGAGGGGGGACAGGGGGUUCGGAUGUCCUUGCGUUUGACUUGAGAACCAACACCCAGGUGGGAGUAGAGGUGCCACAUGUCUAACGGAAGUGCCAUCCCCUCUGCGGUGGCUUUAGUUGCAGGCGGCUUCAGCCUGGAGAGUUGUCUCUGCUUCAACUGUCACAAAAUGCUUGGAGCAGAUUUGUAUUGACAAUUUAACUCUCUUUAGCGGUUCUAAGAGUAGAGAAAAAUCAGGUAGUCGGCACGAUCUGGUGAUACAGAGCUUCUGUUGCUAGUGUCUUGCAUGUAGCGUGGUGAAUAUGUCACUCUUGAUGUGUAUCCAAAUCGUCACUAUGUGGUGCGGCUACCCCACUGCCACCCCCAUUAUUAUGUUCUUUUGUUUUCCAGUUCAAAUAUCACUUCUAACCAAGUCAUCAUAAAUUUGUUUUUACUUCUCAGUCUCUCUCUGUAUGUCCUUUUCCAAGAGUUCCCCAAAGCCUUCACUUGCAGCUUAUUAAAGACCGCUUGCUGCACCAGUACUGUGCUAGUGGACGACUGUAGGAAUAACCAUGGGCACCGGGGUUUUAUUAGAUCCUAUUUGCAGCAUCGUUAUUAUGUCUGCUCUGUGGGAGUCAGGGUGUGUACGUGCGAGCAUGCUCUCUCUCCACCACCUUAGCUUCAGCAUGGCAGUUUGAAGUUUCAAGAAAGCAGGAGGCUCAUCCUACUGUUCCUGCUUCAGUGGAGAAGCAUCAUAGGGUUCACUCAAACCUCAGGCAUUAGAGUUUGGUAAGACAUGACUGAUGACAAGUCACUGUAUUCCGUGACUGUAUUCUAUGGCUUUGUCCUGGGUACUGACGUCGUUGUAAGUUUUUAAUCACAGCUACUGACAGAAUGAAGUCAAAUUACUCUAAUCAAGUUAAUUUGCCGGAGACUCGAAACCCAGGUCAUCACACGCAUAGGAGAUGCCGAUAUUGUCUACUCCUGUCUGUCUUCCGGUCAUUCUUUAGUUACUGAAGUUCCCUAUUUGAUUGUUUAGUUUUGAGUGUUGGUAGCUUUUCAUGUGAACAGAUCUGUUAGGCUUGUCAUCGGGAUCAAACACCCUAAAAAACAACCAAAAGGAGGAAAGAUAGAUGUGUGUUGGCUCACGGUUUGGAAGGCCUCAGCCUCUGUUUGCCUAAGACAUUGCUUUCAGGCCUAAGG